rnacentral:rRNA from 1 species
UACGUAGGGUGCAAGCGUUGUCCGGAAUUAUUGGGCGUAAAGAGCUUGUAGGCGGUUUGUCGCGUCUGCUGUGAAAUUUCGGGGCUCAACCCCGAACUUGCAGUGGGUACGGGCAGACUAGAGUGUGGUAGGGGGAGACUGGAAUUCCUGGUGUAGCGGUGAAAUGCGCAGAUAUCAGGAGGAACACCGAUGGCGAAGGCAGGUCUCUGGGCCACUACUGACGCUGAGAAGCGAAA